rnacentral:lncRNA from 1 species
AGUAAAAAGAAAAAAGAAUAAUUACAAGAAAAUGAAAAAGAAAAAAGGAAAAUAGAAUAAUUACAAGAAAAUGAAAAUGAGACUGUAUGUAUUAAAGGAAACCAACUCAAUCAUUUUUCCAGUGUUGCAUUAGCACCACCUGUAUUAUUGUGAGAUCCUCAUAAUCCUAACAAACAUAUCAAUCUCAUCAAAACAAUACGAAAAACCCUAUCAUAAUCAUUGGUGACGCAAGAAUAAAAUUGAAAAUAAGAGGAAACACAAAUGAAUAGGGUGACAAAAUAAAAAAGGUAGAGAUGUAUAACCUUCAAAAGAUUAACCUAUAUCAGAAAUCACAUGAUCCGUACAUUUGAUAGAUAAGAAAGAAAAUUACUCAUAAAAGAUACAAAAAAAGGAAAAUAUGACAAUUUUUCAGUAAUACGUAUUUUUUUACCCUUUGUAUUUUGUUUAUACAAUCAUAAAGUGAUUAUGAACCAGAGAUUUCUAUUAAGUAUUGUAAGCUAAAUAUUUGUAUUAAAUACAUCCUCAAUUAUAUAAAUCAAUCAAACAUGUAAUGAGUAUUAAACAUUGACAUUAAAUAGUUUAGAAAGAUAUGUAUUAAACAUCAAAAUUAAUUAAAUAUAUACUUAUAUCCUUAAGAACAUAAAAUGUCAUCUUCUAUAUUCUGAUAAUUAAACAAUUAACAUAAGUUAUACAGAUUAAAAAAUAUGCUAAAAUACUAAUUAUAAGUAGAAAAUGAAAAAGAAAAAAGAAAAAAGAGUAAUUACAAAAAAUGAAAAAGAAAAAAAGAAAAUGAAAAAAAGAAAAUGAAAAUGAGACUGUAUGUAUUAAAGGAAACCAACUCAAUCAUUUUUCCAGUGUUACAUUAGCACCACCUGUAUUAUUUUGAGAUCCUCAUAAUCCUCAAAAAACAUCUCAAACUCAUCAAAAUAAUACGAAAAACCCUAUCAUAAUCAUUGGUGACGCAAGAAUAAAAUUGAAAAUAAGAGGAAACACAAAUGAAUAGGGUGACAAAAUAAAAAGGGUAGAGAUGUGUAGCCUUCAAAAGAUCAACCUAUAUCAGAAAUCACUUGAUCUGUACAUUUGAUGGAUAAGAAUGAAAAUUACUCAUAAAAGAUAGAAAGAAAAAGAAAAUAUGACAAUUUUUCAGUAGUACUAUUUUUUUUACCCUUUUUACUUUGUUUAUACAAUCAUAAAGUGAAUCUGAACCAGAGAUUUCUAUUAAAUAAUGUAACCUAAAUAUUUUCAUUAAGUACAUCCCCAUUUAUAUAAAUAAAUCAAACAUGUAAUGAGUAAAAAAAUUUUUGAGAUUAAAUAGUUUAGAAAGAUAUGUAUUGAACAUCAAAAUUAAUUAAAUAUAUACUUAUAUCCUUAAGAACAUAAAAUGUCAUCUUCUAUAUUCUGAUAUUUAAACAAUUAACAUAAUUUAUACUGAUUAAAAAAUAUGCUUAAAUACUAAUUAUAAGUAGAAAAUGAAAAAGAAAAAAAAAGAAUAAUUACAAGAAAAUGAAAAAGAAAAAAAUAAAAUAGAAUAAUUACAAGAAAAUGAAAUUGAGACUGUAUGUAUUAAAGGAAACCAACUCAAUCAUUUUUCCAGUGUUACAUUAGCACCACCUGUAUUAUUGUGAGAUCCUCAUAAUCCUAACAAACAUCUCAAUCUCUUCAAAACAAUACGAAAAACCCUAUCAUAAUCAUUGGUGACGCAAGAAUAAAAUUGAAAAUAAGAGGAAACACAGAUGAAUAGGGUGAGAAAAUAAAAAAGGUAGAGAUGUGUAACCUUCAAAAGAUCA